CCCUGUCUCAAAAAUAAAUAAAUAAAAACUACAAUCAUUUUUGGGAUAAAAACCUAGCCUUCAACUUGGGCCCACAUGGCCUUGAGGGCCAGCCCAGGGCUGCAGCUUGAACAUUGGUUGUGGGCUUUGUCUCUGAGAGCUGUAAGACAGAUGACAUUGUGGGACAGAUGUCAGCAGAGUGACUGAUUGGUAUGGGACUGUUGGAGCCCAUAGAAUGUGCAAGACCAGCCUGGGUGAGGAGGCUGUCUUAGUUGAGACCAACGUGGUGAAUAGGGUGAGCCAGGUGCAGAGGCCUGGAGAUAGAAGAUGGGGAGGACUGGGGGGCUACAGAUAGUCCGGGGGGAUGGGGCACCAGGAACAAACCGAGGGACACAGGAGAGGUGAGGCACGGAGGCCAAGUAGCAUCAGUCCCUGCAGGGUGGGGGAAGGCCAGGACGCUCGGGAAGGGAGUCCUGAUGACCCCAGCUGUCCCGGCAGCUCUCCCCACCUGGUGCAGGUUCGGGAGCGGAUCCGCAUCAAUGGGCAGCCCAUCAGUCCUGAGCUCUUCACCAAGUACUUCUGGCGCCUCUACCACCGGCUGGAGGAGACCAAGGAUGGCAGCUGUGUCUCCAUGCCCCCCUACUUCCGCUUCCUGACACUCAUGGCCUUCCACGUCUUCCUCCAAGAGAAGGUGGACCUGGCAGUGGUGGAGGUGGGCAUUGGCGGGGCUUAUGACUGCACCAACAUCAUCAGGAAGCCUGUGGUGUGUGGAGUCUCCUCUCUUGGCAUCGACCACACCAGCCUCCUGGGGGAUACGGUGGAGAAGAUCGCAUGGCAGAAAGGGGGCAUCUUUAAGCAAGGUGUCCCUGCCUUCACUGUGCUCCAACCUGAAGGUCCCCUGGCAGUGCUGAGGGACCGAGCCCAGCAGAUCUCAUGUCCUCUAUACCUGUGUCCGAUGCUGGAGGCCCUCGAGGAAGGGGGGCCGCCGCUGACCCUGGGCCUGGAGGGGGAGCACCAGCGGUCCAACGCCGCCUUGGCCUUGCAGCUGGCCCACUGCUGGCUGCAGUGGCAGGACCGCCAUG
rnacentral:sRNA from 1 species